GCAUUGUUGGGGUAGUGGUAACCUGGAUCGUUGCCACCGAGUAUCACAUGACUCGAUCCGCCCCGGGUUCGAUUCCCGGACAAUGCA